rnacentral:tRNA from 1 species
GGGGUUGUAGCUCCGUGGUAAAGCGCUUGCCUAGCAUGCAUGAGGCACUGGGUUCGAUCCCCAGCACCACA